CGACAGACUCGGUCUUUCUAAAUAGCAGUUCACCGUGUACUUUCUGAACGUUGCGCGACAGUUUUCGGUCUUCAUCAUUAUGUACCCGGUAUCACCAGGCUGAUAUCCGCCCCUGAGGCGGUUUCGGCGGCGCUGAUGUCCCGCCGGCCGUUCACGAUCCCGCAGCUCCUACGGUAUGCGCCCUCAGCUGUCGACCACGGGCACUGAAGGCGCCGCUGGGCGUGAAUUCACGGCCUACCAACGAGCGCUCGGCCGGGCCGCGGCCUCUGGGGAGGUCGACCGGCGUCUGAUGGGCCGUCAGCAGCGGCCGGCCACAACGAUCGGCUGGAUGAUGAUACGGCGUGGCCCGGAAUCUGCAGACACUCAUGGACCGUGGCGGUUACGCUGGCUUGACUUCAGAUCGAGAUACCGUUGGCUCGCGGCACGAGCCAUUCAUUGCGUUCCUGAUGCCUCCCAUGCCGCGGUUGUCUGGUCGAACGCCGCCAUAGAGGGCACGGGAUAUGUCCUGCCACCUCUGUCUCACUUCUAAACGGAUGCGAGGCAGGAAUAUUAUUGAAAUAAGUAUCCGGCGCACUUGUCUUUUUUUUGCGAAUGUGACAAUUUAUUUCUGAUCAAAGCUACGCGAAUUAUAGAAAUAAAUAAUAAUAUGUUCAUGUU